GGCGGUAUAGCUUAAUUGGUAAAGUCGUGGAUUGCAAAUCCAUUUAUCCUGAUUCAAGUUCAGGUGUCGCCU
rnacentral:tRNA from 1 species